ACAGAAGAGCUUGCUCUUUGGGUGGCGAGUGGCGGACGGGUGAGUAAUGUCUGGGAAACUGCCCGAUGGAGGGGGAUAACUACUGGAAACGGUAGCUAAUACCGCAUAACGUCGCAAGACCAAAGUGGGGGACCUUCGGGCCUCACACCAUCGGAUGUGCCCAGAUGGGAUUAGCUAGUAGGUGGGGUAAUGGCUCACCUAGGCGACGAUCCCUAGCUGGUCUGAGAGGAUGACCAGCCACACUGGAACUGAGACACGGUCCAGACUCCUACGGGAGGCAGCAGUGGGGAAUAUUGCACAAUGGGCGCAAGCCUGAUGCAGCCAUGCCGCGUGUAUGAAGAAGGCCUUCGGGUUGUAAAGUACUUUCAGCGGGGAGGAAGGCGGUGAGGUUAAUAACCUUGCCGAUUGACGUUACCCGCAGAAGAAGCACCGGCUAACUCCGUGCCAGCAGCCGCGGUAAUACGGAGGGUGCAAGCGUUAAUCGGAAUUACUGGGCGUAAAGCGCACGCAGGCGGUCUGUUAAGUCAGAUGUGAAAUCCCCGGGCUUAACCUGGGAACUGCAUUUGAAACUGGCAGGCUUGAGUCUCGUAGAGGGGGGUAGAAUUCCAGGUGUAGCGGUGAAAUGCGUAGAGAUCUGGAGGAAUACCGGUGGCGAAGGCGGCCCCCUGGACGAAGACUGACGCUCAGGUGCGAAAGCGUGGGGAGCAAGCAGGAUUAGAUACCCUGGUAGUCCACGCCGUAAACGAUGUCGACUUGGAGGUUGUGCCCUUGAGGCGUGGCUUCCGGAGCU
rnacentral:rRNA from 1 species